UACGUAGGUGGCAAGCGUUGUCCGGAUUUACUGGGCGUAAAGAGCGCGCAGGCGGUGUGUCGCGUCGGCCGUGAAAACCUGCAGCUUAACUGUGGGCUUGCGGUCGAUACGGGCAUCACUGGAGUUCGGCAGGGGAGACUGGAAUUCCUGGUGUAGCGGUGAAAUGCGUAGAUAUCGUAAGGAAGACCAGUGGCGAAGGCGAGUCUCUGGACAGUUACUGACACUGAGGCACGAAGGCCAGGGGAGCAAACGGG
rnacentral:rRNA from 1 species